rnacentral:misc_RNA from 1 species
GCAAACUUGGUCAUUUAGAGGAAGUAAAAGUCGUAACAAGGUUUCCGUAGGUGAACCUGCGGAAGGAUCAUUACUGGGUUUAUAGGGUACUUGUACCCACCACCCGCCCUCUGUCAUACGCAAUAAUCUUUUCGGCUCUGACGAGUCCCUAGGACUUGUCGGGCCGGCAUUGCAAACUCACAAGAAAUUUGAAGUCUGAAAAUAUUUUUAAAUCUAAAAAAAACUUUCAACAACGGAUCUCUUGGUUCUGGCAUCGAUGAAGAACGCAGC